UUUCAUCGGUCAAAUGAUCCCGAUCAUUCUUCUUCUCUGAAAAGAACGUCAAAGCAGUACGUCAUAUUCAAUCAAUACAUUUUAUUGAGAAAAAUUCGAAAAAAAGCAACGAGAGGGAAGUUAGUACAAUUGAGGAGUUGAACAUAUUUUAGACUUAGGUUAGACUGUAUACAAACACAUGACUUAUAAUAAAAGCUCGAUUCUCAGUAU
ensembl:ncRNA F36F2.11 ncRNA